AUGGCGGAGGAGGAGGAGGAGGAGGGAGCUGAAUUUUCCAUGAGCAGCUGUCAAAACGUAAUCUCCUGUGCGCUGGCAGCUCAGGCAGGAUCGAUUAACGGGGAUUUCGGGGGACUGGAAACCACCGUGGCAGGGUGCGGGCACCGGCCCCUCGGGGCGCCCCUCGCCCACGUCUGGGGCCGGCUGUCCCCCGGCUCCUGCUGCCGUGGGGCUGAUGCGUCCUUGGGGACCCCCGAGAGCAUCGCCUCUGCCCCCCGACAGCUGCUCUCGCAACGCCGAGAAUUUGUGCCGACAGCUGGGGUGCAGCCUCUCCGCGCUGGCUCCUCGCUCCGGCCCAGACAGGCCAAUUUGUGCAGUUGCAUUUUCAUCAUUUUUUUUUUAAAUUAUUAUUAUUCCUCCCCCCACCUCCAUCUCGUGAAAGGCCGAGCCUGGAAAGUCUGCGCUUGGCCGAGCCCCAGCCCCGCUCGGCAUCACGCCGCUCACGUGUAUCAGGGUCACUUCUUGGGGAUCGCACCCCGCAUUUGGGCAUCCUCCCUGUGUCCUUGCCUUGGGGACGUGGUGGCGGGGGUCCCUGCUCCUUCCCCAGCUCCCUUUGCCCAGCUCGAAUGUCUCGUAGGGCCCUGCCGGGUGCAGCUGGAGCCAGCAGAUCUGGGGCAGCCGUUUAAAAUAGCGCCUUGGCACAGAAAAAAAGGGGGGGGUCCGGGGCUUCGGCACCGGCAGUGCUGGAGGAAACGAGGUCUUGCAGAGACAGACGUGGGCCCUUCCCAGCAGCUCGCUCCGGGUCAGCAAGGAGCUGCCGGUCACAAAAGCCCGGGGACGUGGCUGCUGGAAGCGGGUCCCCGGGGCUGGGACGGUGCCCGCAGUGCUGGUGCAGCAGCUGCGGGGACGGGGAGCGUGUCCCCGAGGGCAGGCAGGCUGGGAGGCUAUCUGAGCCCUCUCUAUAAAUACACCGGCAGGGUAAACACUUGGGAGGGGAAAAAAGGGCUAUUUAAGCGAGUGGGCACUGUUGCCACGAGGUAUAAAUCGGUCAGGAGUAAAUUUAGGCUGGCGACGGGACGGCACAUUGACCCCAUGCCUCCUGGCUCUGUCCUUUCGGCUGGGGCAAGGCACGAUGUGGGGCUGGAGGGGCAAGCGGGGUCCCCAUGUGUCCCUUCUGUUCCCAGCCACCCCCAGCACUCAACCUCGCUGAGCUUUCCUGGGAAAUAA
rnacentral:lncRNA from 1 species